rfam:Felis catus isolate Cinnamon breed Abyssinian chromosome A2, whole genome shotgun sequence.
GCCUGGGUGGCUCAGUUGGUUAAGCGUCUGACUUCAGCUCAGAUCAUGAUCUCACGGUUUGUAGGUUUGAGCCCUGCAUCAGGCU